rnacentral:tRNA from 1 species
GCCUUCGUGGUGUAACGGUAGCACACUCGACUCGUAUUCUAGAGGUCCAGGUUCGAUUCCUGGUGAUGGCA